UACGGAGGGGGCUAGCGUUGUUCGGAAUUACUGGGCGUAAAGCGCACGUAGGCGGCUUUGUAAGUUAGAGGUGAAAGCCCGGAGCUCAACUCCGGAACUGCCUUUUAGACUGCAUCGCUUGAAUCCAGGAGAGGUGAGUGGAAUUCCGAGUGUAGAGGUGAAAUUCGUAGAUAUUCGGAAGAACACCAGUGGCGAAGGCGGCUCACUGGACUGGUAUUGACGCUGAGGUACGAAAGCGUGGGGAGCAAACAGG
rnacentral:rRNA from 1 species